AUAACUGUGGCGAAAUUAGGUAAACGCACUAGAUUUAGAAUCUAGCAAAUAAAUAUUUAUAAGAGUUCAAGUCUCUUCAGUUAUA
rnacentral:tRNA from 1 species